rnacentral:lncRNA from 1 species
CCGCAUGUCCAUGAAGGAGGUGGACGAGCAGAUGCUCAACGUGCAGAACAAGAACAGCAGCUACUUCGUGGAGUGGAGCAACAUGAACGACCUGGUGUCCGAGUACCAGCAGUACCAGGACGCCACGGCCGACGAACAAGGGGAGUUCGAGGAGGAGGAGGGCGAGGACGAGGCGUAGAUGCCCCCGCGAGACGGGUUAGGGAAAGCGGAGGAGGAAAGCGAGGGGGUGGGGGGCUUCCCGGGACGAUAACCUGGCAGUGGAAGGAAAGAAGCAUGGUCUACUUUAGGUGUGCGCUGGGUCUCUGGUGCUCUUCACUGUUGCCUGUCACUUUUUUUUUCCUUUUUUGUAAUAUUGAUGACAUCAAUGUAACAUUUGAGAUAUUUCUGAAUUACUGUUGUAAUGGCUAAAAUCACAUAAACGUUUGUGUCGGAAUGGUGUCCUCUC